GGGUUGCUUGGGAAUGCAGCCCAAAAUUGGUGGUAGACUCCAUCUAAAGCUAAAUACUGGCACGAGACCGAUAGCGAACAAGUACCGUGAGGGAAAGAUGAAAAGAACUUUGAAAAGAGAGUUAAAAAGUGCGUGAAACCGUUAGAGGGGAAGCGGAUGAAGUUAGCAAUGCCCCCGCGAGACUCAGGUGGAUGGCAUACCUCUGGAUGCGACGCGUGGCUGACGGAUCCGAAUGGACUGUCGUUACGUGGCCGUUCCAGCCAGCCGCCGCACUUCUCGUGCUGGGGCGCGUCAACAACUGCUGGACGACAGGGGGGCUAGACGGCACUCGCAGCGAAAGGUAGGCGUCUUACUAUGACUCGGCUACUUUGCGGUGGUCGAGGAGAUGCUGUUAUAGACGCUGUUGUGUCCCAGCUCCAGUCUGGCAGAGGCUAGCUAGCGGUGUGUGCUCGCAACUUCGGUCGUGGGCUGGCAUCCUGCUGCGUGUUCUUGUAGUCGUCAGCUGUGCACUGCUUGCAGUUCACUUCAGACGGUGAAAAGGCGCGUGCAGUGUAUGCACACUAUGUGCACCAUGGUUGUUGGCGGCCAUAUGGCUUCUUCCGACCCGUCUUGAAACACGGACCAAGGAGUCUAACAUGUGCGCGAGUCUUGGGGUGACCGAAACCCAGAGGCACAAUGAAAGUGAAGGCCGCCGUGCAAGGGCACUGCUCUCGUGGCUGGUGUACUAGCCGGUGGCUUAGGUGAGAUCUCUGCUUGCCACCUCGUGGCUGGCAGUGGCGCAUCAUCGACCGACCUAUUCUACUCCUAGAAAGGUUUGAGUAA
rnacentral:rRNA from 2 species